CUGCGCAUGCGCAGUCGGUGCCAGCUGGACCGAGGUUUGGAAGCUCCAGCUCCGAGCCGGGGAUCGGCCCCAAAGGCUUCUCAGCUCUGUUGCCCGGUAGGCUUUUGGCUCCUGCCCGGGGCCGGGGCCUCCGGCUGUGGAAAUGCAAGGACCAGCUCAGUGGCGUGGGCGCUGCUCCCCGGGCUGAGAGCCUCAGGCUGUAAAUACCAGCUUCUCCUGGUGAAGUCGGCAAAAUGGAGCGUCAGUGUUGAGGGCACUUCCGUCUCCUCCCUCAGUGUUUCUGCCGCAGGUGCCCUCACCUACAGUGGCAUCCAUCCAGACACCAGCACUGACACUGUCCGUGCUCAGAACUGCCUCAGCCCUGAAGACACAACUGACAAAUAGAAGGGGGCCGUGUCCUGUUACAGCAGGAUCUGAGGAGCAGGAGCAAGGAAGGCAGGGAGAGAUCCAGGAAGACAUCUGACUGUGUUAAGAGACGACAAUCACAGUGACACAGGAAGUGAGGACACUUGCAGCAAAGUAAAACGAAUUCACAACUAUUGCUUCAGAGCUGCCGGUGUGAGAGAGCCUAAGCCUGUCUCAGAGUGCAGGGGACAAGCGAAAAGGAAUGUGUAAGAAUGCUGUUGACUCAGUAAGAAGCAUGCUUUGAAGCUGUCCAUAUCCUCGCCAUCGAGAAGCGGAGCCUGGAAUCUUCCGAAUUUCUCCAGAAUGCGGUCUACAUUCACCUUCAGCAGUAUGGAUGGGAGCAGAAGAGAAAACCCCCUGCUUCGCAGUUGAAGCUGCUGUUUUGUGCGAAACUGACCAAAGGUUGGAAACCUGCCGUCAGCGGUGCUGGCAAAUGAAGACUUCGGGAUUGGGUGGGGCACUUGCUGUGACUUCCAGCGUUCCGAGGAGAGAAUUCAGCAGUGCAGCAUCCUCUCCGAGCUCUAUGAGUUGAUCGGCUUCCACUGCAAUUCCGCCUUCUUCAAGUGGGUGGCCCCCGUGCAGCGCGCGGCCCCCGGCAUCCCGGAGCCUGGCGGGAAGGCCUGCUACCGACUCCUUCUGCAGACGGUUCCUGGCUACAGUCUGUCGCAGUUUCCGCAGGACUUCAGCAAAGUUAACAGGAAACAUAACACAGGACUCCAGAUUUAGGGAGAGAAUGCAAACAACUACUAUCAUACUCCGUCCAGUAAGGACACGUGUCCCUGCGUCACCAAAGCAAUGAGAAUUUGCACACAGAAAACACAGUUCUCCAAUUGUGACAAAUACGAGACUGUGAGCCAUGAAUUACGAGAACAAGCAACUGUUUAAAUGCCAUGGGCAAAUUUUUUUUAUCAUCUUGAAGACAUCACUGAUGUUCUAGGAAGAAAUUCUUGAAGACAACUCCCUGACCUGAAGGGAUGGAUGGAGGAGAAAAGAAAAGAAGACAAGCAUUUUUGGACCAUAAAAAAUGAGAGGUAACCAGAUGGUGGCCAGUUAUCAUUGCACCUUUCUGCCCGCCCCAAUUUCACAUGCCCCUCCCAACUCAACUCAUCAGAACUCCACUGAAGGAGACGGCUUUGCAAAUUUAUUGGAAGCCAAAGAAAUCGCUUGAGAAACAGUCUCCCAAACCCAGCGAGAACACUGAAAGCUGACCAGUGCCAGGAUCUGAAUACUAAAACACACAGAUUCAACUCCGAUACCCUCCCUGGUGGGUGUACUUACAGUGGGGGUGUCGCCAUGCAAUUUGUCAGCAUCCAACAUAUAAAAAUGAAAGGGACACCAGUUUUCAACAUCACAGUCCCUCUGAAACAACUGGUGGUCAAAUAUCGUUUGUCAGCAGCAAAAGUCGAUUUUCUCCCCUGCACGUGGAGGUGAACACACAGAAGAGACUGAUGAUCCCCGCUACGAGUGUAGCUAAGUGUGUCUAAGCAAACUGGCUCCAUCAGCCUCCUGAUGAGCAGGGGAGUGUGUGAGCCGCGGGGCUCUACAGACUGAUGGCCAGGCAAGGAGGGCGCUUCCUUUGGGGAGAAAAACACGGAAGCAGCACUCGCUGGAAAUAAAUUCUAAUUAAAAUUUCAGGUGCGCUUCCUGCAGCGUAACCCACGGCAAUAGAUGAGGCUCCCUCCGUGCUGUCCAGUCAUGUGAGCCAGGGUCAUUAUUAUACCUGUGUGUUUGGUUUAGCAAGUGAAUCAUGUCUGUUUUCUGGAAAUUACAUGAGGGUGGAAAACCUUCCAAACAUGUUCACUUAUUUGCUGUGGAAUUUGUUUAAUCCUCUUAAGAGUAUUUACAAUGACAACCUUCCUAAAUAAGCAUCUUUGCCCGAGAGACCUUUCCAGGCACAUGCGCCGAAACCUAGGACAACCCAGAAGCAAAAUCAAAACCGUUUCAGCUGCACAGCACCGCAGAAUGCGUCCAGUUUGAGAAUCAAGGAUUAUUUUCUCCACACCCUUUUACUCUUCUGCCCAAAUUAAUCAGCCUCUGCUGCUCUUGUAUAGCAUGUUAUUUUUCUUAAAUCAAAUGAGGAGAUAUUCGCAAGCCAAUGGACAACGGAAUUACCUAAGAGGACAUUAUAAAGCAGCAAGAGCAACUAGCACUUUGCCAAGCAUUCUGCCUGAGAGUCACUCGUACAUUCUUAUUUUGACCUGACCGCUUGGAGUUCAGGCUGAAUUCAUACUACUUACGAGGAGAAGUCCUGAGGCAGAGGAGAGAAGGGAAGAUAAGCCAGACAUCAACAAUUUCAAGAGAUCCACUUCAUCAAGGAAGCAAAGUAUUAAAUAAACCACUUCAGCUACACGCUUGUCAAUAAACCUUGGUGUCUCUGUCUCAGCCUGAAGGAGGAGAUCCUGAGGCCUCAAAAGACAUAUAAAGUUGCCUGAUUUUUUACACUGUCCUUUAACAGAAAGACUAGAACUAAGAUCCUAGUCUUUGAGAAACCAAGACUUGCUCGGCUGGUGCAGGGCUGAACUUUAUGAAAAUGGGUUGUGAGAAAGAACCAGAAUGCGGGGGCCUGAGCGAGGCAGCGGAGGAAAGGAGGGUCUCACCUCGUCGUGGGUGAGAAAUAGGCUCCCGCAGCGCUGGUGUGAUGGGCAUCCCUCAAGUGCCUGAAAACUACUAUUUAGCACACCUGCCACCGAAACGCACACAAGCUGUUUAACUAGAAGGCUGACCAGGAGGCUUUCUCAGUGACACAACAAGCUAUUUUCACGUUAACUCUACAACUACAGGAAGAGAAAGAAAAGAAAGCUGAUAUUAAUUAUUAAUAAUUUACACCAAGAGACAAGGAAUUUCCAGGAGAAAUAUAAAGAGUUGUUGGAAGUUUCAUUAUGUGAACUUGCUGCCAAUUCAGUUGUCUUAAAAAUUGUUGUAUAAAUUAUAUUGUCCUUUGGUGUUCCAAAUCACAUUUGAAAGAAAUAAUGUUUGUUAAGGGUGUUUCUGGAAUUUUCUUCUAUUUCCUAACACCAAAUCUCAGAGCUUUAAAGAAGUGGAGGAUAGGAAUUUCGUCCACUCUUCUCUAGGCAAUAUGUUGUUCCUUCAAAGAACAAGUGGGGAAUCACACGGAAAAGCAUUUGAGCAUCAGGCUGCUUACAUUUCCUCUGGAAGUCUUGGAAAAUAACGUGGAAAUGAACAGCAGGACAGAAACCUGGCAGGAGGGUCACUGGCUAGAAGGUGAGAACAAAUGUGUUUUCCAACGUGCUCUGGUAGCCACUAGUUUAAAUGAUCCGAGCAAUUGUUCAAGCAUACACACACUUCUACGUGAAAAUCUCAACCGUUACCAACCGCUCAGUGCAGUCCGAAACAAUGGACGGACUGCAGAGGCCCCCGGCGGCUCAUCGUGGUGUCUUACACCAUGUGCAGGAUGAUCGGUUCCUCCCCACCCACUCCCUCCCCUCCCCUCGAGGGAGAUGUCUGGUCCUGAGUUGAGCUUACCUCAUAGCAAGCUGUCUCUCAGCCCUCUGUCUAAAACAAGAUAAAAGCAGGAAAGCUACCUGGGACUUUACAGAACCAUCCCAAAAGGGAAAUGAAGCACCUUUCUUCCCUCCUAUCUGCUGCCUGGAAUGUGGACCUGAUGGUUGACCCUCAGGCAGCCACUUUGGGCCAUCAUGUUGAUGGGUUGAAGAUAACAGGCAUCUUGUUCUCUGACCCAGGGUCCAUGAUGCAAACCAGCCCUGGGCUACCGAUUGCUUGACUUCUUUAUGUAAGAGGGAAAUACAAUUUUAGCAUGUUUCAGCUACUGCUGUUAUCUGGGGAACUAGGUGUUGUACAUUGCCAUGGUAAGACCUAAUAAUAAAGUUAAAUAUUCACCAAAAACUAUUUACCAAAUAGUUAAUAAAUGAUAAAGAGAUCUUGAUUUUUGUUUUAAUGCAAUGAAAUGUAAAUCAUUUCAGCAUAUGCCAAUAAAACAAGACACUGUGGAGGUAAAGCAAAAUAGAUUUUGUAGAACAGAGACCCAAAGCAUCCUCCUCUCCAAGGCACAGAAGGACAGCCGUGACUCUACGUGCCAAGGCUGGAGUCACAUGGCCUCCCUGGUUUCCAUCUCUUGGGUUGUGUUUUGUUUCCAGCCUUGGGAAAAAUGGAUAAGACUGCUGGUCAAAUCAUUUCAGGAGCAGUUUCCAUCGUGUAGAACCCAUGUCUCUUCCUUUCCUCUGACUCCUGGAAUGUUCUGACACAAUUAAUCAGUCCAGCCUUCUAAACUGAGCAAAUGGAGCUCAAUCAAUCUGCUUUUAGACAGAGUUAAAAAUAGACAUUAAAAAGCAUAACUAGGAAAUCUUAUCUUCCAGAAAUCAUUGCACAGAUGAAAUAGGAGAAUAUCUGUGAAUCACUCUGUAAACACUAAGUACAAUACAAACAAUAUUAGUACUGAUUCUAUGUUACAUUCAUCAAUAAAGGAAUACAGAACCCUUUCUUACCAGAAGGAAAAUGUGCUUUGUAAUUUUAUGUCACUUUAAUUCUUCAAAAUUUCUAUAAAAUUGAUGUCUUUAAAAAAAUAAAUGCACAUAAGGAACUAAUUUUAAUUCAUUCAUCUCCCCCGGUUUAACACAUAUCAAGAAUGUUACCAUUUCUAGAUAUUUUAUUUAGGCAAUCCUUUGGUAUACAUGAGGAACAGAGCACGGCAAAUUGUCAGUAUCACUCAGGAUAGGAAAACCAUUUUUGAUACCUGAACUUGAGGACAUGAAGAAGAUGCCUGACAUGUCCCACUGACCUUUCAAGCUAUUCUUUUUCAAACACUUGUUUCUUCUUGGUACAGAACAGACACGCAUUUGUUGAUGUGAGACUCUUUAAGUGAAAUAUGAUUCCUAAAAUGAAAAAUGACCACCGAUGACAUCUCAGGAUGCUCCAAUGCAGAGGUUCUCUGCUGCAGUGAGGAGGAAAGAGCCGUGUGCUCCAAGAUACAUUUACUGUCUGCAACUCACUUGGCAAGACACUGCAACUUGUCUAAGCUAAAACUUAAAAGUGGAGAAUAGAGACAACAUCCAUGGCAAAGGGCAAUCGGAGGCUAAUUCCUUGGCCCCACUUCAUCGCUUCUCAAGAGCCGUGGGCAAUACCUUGAGAAAGGCAGCAACGUGGUACCCAAGUCAUCAAAAAUCUGCACCUCCUACUGGUUGACAGUAAAGCUAGUGUCAUCUGACUCAACAGAUCUCCCUGUGUCUCUACAGUGUGUGGCUAGAUUUUCUUUAUUUUCUCGGUUGGGGGACACUCCAUUUUUGAAAAUCCCACUCCCUGCAGUAGAAGUUCUUAGUUUCCCAAUCACAAUGCAGGCUUGAAAGGGGGAUAUCAGAGCUGACAAAACAUAGAUCACUAUUUAUUCCUUGAUAUAUUUUUGGCACAUGAACUAAAAAUUUUGGGGUCAGUUGGACAUCAAGAUCAUAUCUAAUUUACACAAUUGUCAACUGUCUUUUUACUACCAGCUCCUGAAACAGUCACGUGGUCACUAGGUUUUUUUUUUUCCCUUCCCUUGACCCAUGGAUUUGAUGAUUUCUAAUCAGACACAAUAGAUUUUUGAAAAGAAAUCUGUUUCACCCUUUGCUUUUAAACUAAAUUUGUGUACCUGACCCUGACUUCACUCUAACAUUCACAAAAAGCUAUCCAAGGACACCCACUUUUGACAUCAUCUCUAGAUGUCUUGAAUACACUGCUGAGCUGAUACUUCCAGAUCAUUAAACUAUAUAUGCACAUUAUGCUGUGGUCCUCUUCAAUUUGUGGUGUUUUCAGUAAUCAUUACCUCUUUGGAUACUUUAUUACACAUUUAGCAUUUCUUUAUCCAAUU